rnacentral:rRNA from 1 species
GAUGAACGCUGGCGGCGUGCCUAAUACAUGCAAGUCGAGCGAACAGACGAGGAGCUUGCUCCUUUGACGUUAGCGGCGGACGGGUGAGUAACACGUGGGUAACCUACCUAUAAGACUGGGAUAACUUCGGGAAACCGGAGCUAAUACCGGAUAAUAUUUCGAACCGCAUGGUUCGAUAGUGAAAGAUGGCUUUGCUAUCACUUAUAGAUGGACCUGCGCCGUAUUAGCUAGUUGGUAAGGUAACGGCUUACCAAGGCAACGAUACGUAGCCGACCUGAGAGGGUGAUCGGCCACACUGGAACUGAGACACGGUCCAGACUCCUACGGGAGGCAGCAGUAGGGAAUCUUCCGCAAUGGGCGAAAGCCUGACGGAGCAACGCCGCGUGAGUGAUGAAGGUCUUCGGAUCGUAAAACUCUGUUAUUAGGGAAGAACAAACGUGUAAGUAACUGUGCACGUCUUGACGGUACCUAAUCAGAAAGCCACGGCUAACUACGUGCCAGCAGCCGCGGUAAUACGUAGGUGGCAAGCGUUAUCCGGAAUUAUUGGGCGUAAAGCGCGCGUAGGCGGUUUUUUAAGUCUGAUGUGAAAGCCCACGGCUCAACCGUGGAGGGUCAUUGGAAACUGGAAAACUUGAGUGCAGAAGAGGAAAGUGGAAUUCCAUGUGUAGCGGUGAAAUGCGCAGAGAUAUGGAGGAACACCAGUGGCGAAGGCGACUUUCUGGUCUGUAACUGACGCUGAUGUGCGAAAGCGUGGGGAUCAAACAGGAUUAGAUACCCUGGUAGUCCACGCCGUAAACGAUGAGUGCUAAGUGUUAGGGGGUUUCCGCCCCUUAGUGCUGCAGCUAACGCAUUAAGCACUCCGCCUGGGGAGUACGACCGCAAGGUUGAAACUCAAAGGAAUUGACGGGGACCCGCACAAGCGGUGGAGCAUGUGGUUUAAUUCGAGGCAACGCGAAGAACCUUACCAAAUCUUGACAUCCUUUGACCCUUCUAGAGAUAGAAGUUUCCCCUUCGGGGGACAAAGUGACAGGUGGUGCAUGGUUGUCGUCAGCUCGUGUCGUGAGAUGUUGGGUUAAGUCCCGCAACGAGCGCAACCCUUAAGCUUAGUUGCCAUCAUUAAGUUGGGCACUCUAAGUUGACUGCCGGUGACAAACCGGAGGAAGGUGGGGAUGACGUCAAAUCAUCAUGCCCCUUAUGAUUUGGGCUACACACGUGCUACAAUGGACAAUACAAAGGGCAGCGAAACCGCGAGGUCAAGCAAAUCCCAUAAAGUUGUCCUCAGUUCGGAUUGUAGUCUGCAACUCGACUACAUGAAGCUGGAAUCGCUAGUAAUCGUAGAUCAGCAUGCUACGGUGAAUACGUUCCCGGGUCU